UACGACAUCCGGGUUGGCAGAGUGUGCUAAAGCAGUGAGUAAAACAAACUUGGGGAGUAGGCUUCUAAUGUUAACAUGCAUGAAACCAAGGCUUUUACGGUUACAGAAGUCAACAAAUGAGAGCACCUGGGGAUUGGGAGUGGAGCUAGGCACUGCAGGACCUGGAUUAACCUCCACAUCACCAGAGGAACAGAGGAGAAGUAGGAUAAGGAUGAACUCUCGCGUCUUGUGACGGCCGGCCGCCCAACAACCUGUCCACUUGACCCUAUCCCCUCCUCUCUUCUCCAGACCAUUUCCGGAGACCUUCUCCCCUACCUCACCUCGCUCAUCAACGCAUCCUUGACCGCUGGCUAUGUCCCUUCCGUCGUCAAGAGAGCGAGAGUUGCACCCCUUCUGAAAAAACCUACACUCGAUCCCUCCGAUGUCAACAACUACAGACCUAUCUGCUGCCUUUGAUACCGUGAACCAUCAGAUCCUCCUCUCCACCCUCUCCGAGCUGGGCAUCUCCGGCACCGCGCACGCUUGGAUUGCGUCCUACCUGACAGGUCGCUCCUACCAGGUGGCGAAUCGCAUCUCUGCAUGUCUGGCAGACAUAUCAGUGUGGAUGACGGAUCACCACCUCAAGCUGAACCUCGGCAAGACGGAGCUGCUCUUCC
rnacentral:lncRNA from 1 species